GAUGAACGCUGGCGGCGUGCCUAAUACAUGCAAGUCGAGCGAACAGACGAGGAGCUUGCUCCUCUGACGUUAGCGGCGGACGGGUGAGUAACACGUGGAUAACCUACCUAUAAGACUGGGAUAACUUCGGGAAACCGGAGCUAAUACCGGAUAAUAUAUUGAACCGCAUGGUUCAAUAGUGAAAGACGGUUUUGCUGUCACUUAUAGAUGGAUCCGCGCCGCAUUAGCUAGUUGGUAAGGUAACGGCUUAUCAAGGCAACGAUGCGUAGCCGACCUGAGAGGGUGAUCGGCCACACUGGAACUGAGACACGGUCCAGACGCCUACGGGAGGCAGCAGUAGGGAAUCUUCCGCAAUGGGCGAAAGCCUGACGGAGCAACGCCGCGUGAGUGAUGAAGGUCUUCGGAUCGUAAAACUCUGUUAUUAGGGAAGAACAAAUGUGUAAGUAACUAUGCACGUCUUGACGGUACCUAAUCAGAAAGCCACGGCUAACUACGUG
rnacentral:rRNA from 1 species